GAUGUCAAGCCUUUAUCGGAUCUGUCAUUUAUGAAAAUAUUCUCCCAUACUGUACAACCUCAUGUGGUAGUUGUGUAGGUUUGACUUCUUAAUCCCUCCCAGGCUUAGCAGCCUGCAGUCAGGUGACCCAGAUGAACUAACCAAACUCAGGGGUUUCUGUGAUCAGCUGUUCCCUCCUGUGUGGUGACAGGCAGGGUGAGAUGUCAGCUGCGUGCCUGCUUGACAGCAGCAUGUUGGCAAGAAUUUGAUUGCAAGAGAAGAACCCGGGGUUGGCAGGGGAAUUCCUGUUACAUCAAAAUAUUGAGAAAAUGAUUGUUGAGAGCAGAAUACCUAGAGCUAUAGUGCCCCAAGAGCCAUCUGUACUCACUGGGACACUGUGUGUAUAACUAAAAACAAUGUGCACAGGAUGGUUGAAGCCACUCUUUUAGUCCUGUGCAUGUGCGCCAGUCAUGACUGUAGCCUGCAAGGAGAGUUCAGUCUCCUUGAUUCACUGGGAUGUAGCCAGUGUGCUGAGCAUCUGCUGCUCUGUCUCUCUUUCUCCUCUGCCCUCUCUUCCCAGCCCAAGGCAGUCACCCUUCACAAGUAGGACGGUUUGUUGCCCCUUGAUUUCAGGGACCACUCCCUACCGCUGCUGUCAGCACCAGCGGAGAAGUCAUGGCAUCUGCCCCCCCUUGGUUUGUUUCCGUCCUCUCUGUACCCCCUGACACAGUGUGGAGCAGGAGGAAGUCCUGCGGCCUCCCAGGAUCCCUGUGCUUUGACUCCUCUGACGUGCCAGGAAGGGUCUGACUGCUACCAGCCAUACAACGAGGGAAAAUUCCCACUUGCUGGACAUGAAGUUGACGGUGCUCUGAAUGGAGCCUAUGAAAGCUCCCAUUCUGAAGGGGAUGAGACUCCACCUGGUCUCCCAGAUGGAAGAAGCCUCAAUCUAUCAGACUCCUGCUGCCCUUAUGGGAGCACUGCCGUUUUCUCACCUGAAGAACUGGAAGCCUGUUUUCCUCUGGAUAUAACCAGCGAGUACUGUUAAUCAAGCAAAUCAAAUUGAUCCUGAAGAGUAGGAAGGCCAAGACCAGAUACACCUCAGGAGCUCAGCCAUCAGCUCAUUUGAGGAACUGGAAGUCUGUUCUGUUCUGCAUGCAGCCAGAAAUCAUACUAACCUGGAAGAGGAGGAGGAAGACCAAGACCACAUUUUUUCCAGGUAACCCUGAAGAAUUGUGGGU